UUCCAGGUGGCACAGUGGUAAAGAACUUGCUUGCAACGCAAGAGACCCAGGCUCGAUCCCUGGGUUGGGAA
rnacentral:tRNA from 1 species